rnacentral:rRNA from 2 species
GUCGAACGAACUCUGGUAUUGAUUGGUGCUUGCAUCAUGAUUUACAUUUGAGUGAGUGGCGAACUGGUGAGUAACACGUGGGAAACCUGCCCAGAAGCGGGGGAUAACACCUGGAAACAGAUGCUAAUACCGCAUAACAACUUGGACCGCAUGGUCCGAGCUUGAAAGAUGGCUUCGGCUAUCACUUUUGGAUGGUCCCGCGGCGUAUUAGCUAGAUGGUGGGGUAACGGCUCACCAUGGCAAUGAUACGUAGCCGACCUGAGAGGGUAAUCGGCCACAUUGGGACUGAGACACGGCCCAAACUCCUACGGGAGGCAGCAGUAGGGAAUCUUCCACAAUGGACGAAAGUCUGAUGGAGCAACGCCGCGUGAGUGAAGAAGGGUUUCGGCUCGUAAAACUCUGUUGUUAAAGAAGAACAUAUCUGAGAGUAACUGUUCAGGUAUUGACGGUAUUUAACCAGAAAGCCACGGCUAACUACGUGCCAGCAGCCGCGGUAAUACGUAGGUGGCAAGCGUUGUCCGGAUUUAUUGGGCGUAAAGCGAGCGCAGGCGGUUUUUUAAGUCUGAUGUGAAAGCCUUCGGCUCAACCGAAGAAGUGCAUCGGAAACUGGGAAACUUGAGUGCAGAAGAGGACAGUGGAACUCCAUGUGUAGCGGUGAAAUGCGUAGAUAUAUGGAAGAACACCAGUGGCGAAGGCGGCUGUCUGGUCUGUAACUGACGCUGAGGCUCGAAAGUAUGGGUAGCAAACAGGAUUAGAUACCCUGGUAGUCCAUACCGUAAACGAUGAAUGCUAAGUGUUGGAGGGUUUCCGCCCUUCAGUGCUGCAGCUAACGCAUUAAGCAUUCCGCCUGGGGAGUACGGCCGCAAGGCUGAAACUCAAAGGAAUUGACGGGGGCCCGCACAAGCGGUGGAGCAUGUGGUUUAAUUCGAAGCUACGCGAAGAACCUUACCAGGUCUUGACAUACUAUGCAAAUCUAAGAGAUUAGACGUUCCCUUCGGGGACAUGGAUACAGGUGGUGCAUGGUUGUCGUCA